rnacentral:rRNA from 1 species
UAAGGUGGGAUAGAUGAUUGGGGUGAAGUCGUAACAAGGUAGCCGUAUCGGAAGGUGCGGCUGGAUCACCUCCUUU